rnacentral:lncRNA from 1 species
CUCAAGUCUCCAAGAUAAGAAGGCUACUUUCCUAAUUAGUCACUUAGGAAUCUUCGAACAUUACAUCUCCGUCUCCUUCAAGAAAGACCUUGUCCUCAAGGUCGUAGUUGAGCCACAAAUUCUGGAAAUCGGUGUUUGAUGUAGCUCCAAUCUUCCCAAGAAACUUCCUUUUCACUCAAGUUAGCCCAUUGAACCAAUACUUUUACCCCAACUCCAUUGUUGACCCUUAUCAUUUUUCUCUGAAGAAUGGCGACUGGUUGAAUCAAGACUUUUCCUUCCAUAUCGCAGAGGGAAGGUUGUUGUGCUAGAACGAUGGUGGAGCCUAUGCGACGUUUCGGCUGUGAGACAUGAAACACUGGGUGUAUUUGCGACUUGAGUGAAAGCUGCAAUCGGUAAGCUAUAGAUCUUAUUUUCUGUUCAAUCUUAUAUGGACCAUAGUAUUUGGCACACAAUUUCAUAUUUCUGCGCACAUCUAUAGAGGAUUGACGAUAAGGCUGUAGCUUUAGGUAAACUUGGUCCCCCACUUCUAGUAUUCUUUCUGAUCUUAGUCUAUCUGCAUAGAACUUCAUGCAAGCCUGUGCUUGUGUCAAGUUGUCCUUCAGUGUUUGUAGCAUGUGUUAACGCUGAGCCACGCUCACUUCUGCUGGUGAUUGGCUUGUGUUAGGCAAGGAUCCUGUAGGUAAUUGUGGUGGUGGAUAACCAUACAGUGCUUGAAAAUGGGUGAUUUUCAAUGCACUAUGAUAGUUGGUGUUAUACCACUAUUCCGCCAAAUGAAGCCAUUUGGUCCAUAGCUUAGGAUUAUCAAAUACCAUCACUCGUAGAUAAGUUUCCAUGCACCUGUUUAGCCUUUCAGUCUGCCCAUCUGAUUGUGGAUGAUAUGUUGUACUCACGUUCAAUUUGGUGCCCAUAGUCUUGAAAAGAUGUUGCCAGAAAUGGCUAGUGAAUAUAGGAUACCUAUCAGACACUAUUGUUUUAGGUAACCCAUGUAAUCUGUAGACUUCCUUGAGAAAUAGAUCUGCAACCUCUUGAGCUAAAAAUGGGUGUUUAAUGGCCAAGAAAUGACCAUACUUGGUGAACCUAUCAAUCACCAGUAACGCUGCAUUUUUACCCCUAGAAUUGGAUAAUCCUUCCACGAAAUCCAUGGAUAUGUCUUGCCAUGCCUGGUCCUGAAUUGGCAGUGGCUGAAGCAAGCCUGGUGAGUGGACAUUUUCAGAUUUAACUCGUUGACAGACAUCACACUCCUCCACCCAUUUACACACUUCUUUUUCAUAUUUGGCCAAUAAAACAGAAGUUGUAAUCUCUUGUAAGUACCUUGCUGCCCUGAGUGUCCACCAAUAGCAGAAUGAUGCAUAGUUUGUAGAAUCUUUUCCCUUAGAUUAGCAAUCUUUCCUACAUAGAUCUUCUAUUUGUAUCUAAUGACUCCUUGGUGCAAAGUAUAGUCCUCCUUGUUGUUAAGAUUGACGGUUAACUCUCCUAGUAGUUGUAAUGCUAUAGGAUCCCCUCAUAACUAUCAACAAUAUCAUGCAGCCAAGUAGCCUGUGGGCUGGAUAUAGCUAAUAGAGUAGAUUCAUCUUCUUGUCUCCUUGAGAGAGCAUCUGCCACCCUGUUCUCACUGCCCUUCUUGUAUUGAACCUCAUAGUCAAGGCCCAUAAGUUUGGUUAACCCUUUUUGUUGUAAGGUUGUAGUUACCUUUUGCUCCAGUAGGUAUUUCAAGCUUUGAUGAUCAGUCUUAACAAUAAAGUGACCCCCUUGUAAGUAAUGCCUCCACCUAUCUACAGCUGAUAGAACUGCCAUAUACUCUUUUUCAUAAGUAGGCAAUCCCCUGUGCUUGAGUGCUAAUGCUUUGUUGAAAAAAGCUAUAGGUCUGCCUCCCUGCAUCAAUACAGCACCCAUUCCAGUAGCACAUGCAUCAGUUUCUAUCACAAAAGGCUUGGUGAAAUCAGCCAAACCAAGCACUGGUAAUGUUGACAUAACUGUCUUUAAUUGCUGAAAUGAUGAUUCUGCUUCUUCAUUCCACUGAAAGGCAUUCUUCUUAAGCAGAUUAGUUAAUGGUCUGCUUAUGAUUCCAUAAAAUUUAACAAAUCUCCUAUAGUAUCUAGUCAAUCCUACGAAUCCCCUUAAGGCCUUCACAGAUUUAGGUACAGGCCAAUUUACUAUUGCUUCAAUUUUAGCAGGGUUAGUAGAAACCUAUUUACCUGAGAUAAUGUUUCCCAAGUAUUCCACCUUAUCCUGUCCAAAAGCACAUUUAGACAUCUUCGCAUAAAGUUUCUCCUUCUGUAUAAUCUCUAGUACUUUUCUGAGAUGUAAUACAUGAGUCUCCAUUGAAGAACUGUAAACUAAUAUAUCAUCAAAAAAUACCAAUACAAACUUCUUUUAGAAGGGUAUAAACACAUGAUUCAUGAGGCUUUGGAAAGUGGCUGGGGCAUUGGUCAAGCCAAAGGGCAUGGCCCUAAAUUCGUAGUGUCCUAGAUGUGUUCUAAAGGCAGCUUUCUAUAUGUCUCCUUCCUUAAUUCUUAUUUGGUGAUAACCAGCUCUCAAGUCAAUUUUUGAAUAAAUGCAAGAACCAUUAAGCUCAUCCACAAGAUCAUCUACCAAGGGAAUUGGAAACUUAUCCUUAAUUGUCAUUUUGUUUAAUUCCCUAUAAUCAAUGCAAAAUCUCUAACAUCUUUUUUCUUAACUAACAAUACAAGGGAAGAGAAUGGGAAAUGGCUAGGUUGUAUAGUACCAUUAUUAAGCAUUUCACUAACUUGCUUUUCUAUCUCAUUCUUCUGAAAAUAAUUAUACAUGUAUGGUCUGAUACUGAUUGGUACUGCUUCAGGUUUAAGAGGAAUCUGAUGAUUAUGAGUUCUUCUUGGUGGCAGGCACUUUGGUUUAGCAAACACUCCUAGGAACUCAGAUAUAAUAUCUUGAAUCUUGUCAUGUAUGCUACCUGGUAAUUCUGUGGUUUGUACAUUAAUAGUGAACAAAUGUGCCCAUAGCACCUGUCCUUUCUUCAAUAAUUAUUUCACCCCAGUGGUUGUCAUACUCUGUAGUUUGCCUUCUUCAGAGUAUCCCUUCAAAUCUACCCUUUUUCCUUUCACACUCACUUGUAGUCUAUAUGCAAUAAAGUUAAAUAGAAUUGGAUUGUGUUUUCUCAUCCAAUCCAAUCCCAAGACUACAUCACAACCCCCAAUAUCUAAUAACCUCAGUUUGUGCUCAAAUUCAAUACCCUGAGUUUUCCACUUGAAUUGAGGGCAAGAGUGGUAACUCAUCAGGUUCCCUCCAUUUGCCAAAGCUACCCACAUUGGUACAGCUUCUUGGAUUGCACAUCCUAGUUGUUUGGCAAUGCUACUAGCUAUGAAGCUGUGAGUGCUGCCAAUAUCUGCUAAGAUCAUCAAUACUUGUUUCCUAUAUACUCCCUUCUGUUUGAUAGUUGUAAAAGUAAUAGUCUCUGACAAUUCAUUGAGACUAAUUGUCUCAUCUAUGAUAGCUUCUGAAUUCUUAACAGGAACUAUCUCAUUCUCCAUUUGAUCUUCUACCUCUAACUGCUCUUGUUCUGUUGUUCCUGACAGUAUGUUGAGUUAUUUAUUCUUGCAAACAUGCCCAGGGAAGUAUAUUUCCCCACACUUAUAGCAUUCUCCCCUAGCUUUUCUAGCUUCAAAGAGUUUAGUCACUGAGAUUGAAGUCUGAUGGUUAUUCUCCUUCUGUACAUAGAUAGAAGGUUUGCUCCAUGUAGUAUUAACAUAAGUACUUGGAUGAGGGUUUUGUCUUCCUCCAUACCAUUUCUUCCUAUUCAUUGACUCCAUUAAUUCUUCCUUGUGUCUAGAUUUUUCUACUACAUGACUUAAUGAAUAAAGAUCAAGCAUUUUAACAGUAUGUCUAAUCUAUUCCUUAAGCCCUUCUAUAAAAAAUCCCAGAAAAAACUCUUCAGGUAUGGUUGGAUGUUUAAUCAACACCCAUGCCUUCAAAUCUUCAAACCUCUCCAAAUAUUCAUUAACCGAUCCAUUUUGUUCUACCCUCUUAAACCUUCCUAGCAGAUUUAGAUUGCUAUUAUCAGCAUCAUUAAAUGUUUUACAGAUUUCCUCCACAAAUUCACCACAUCUAACAGUACCCCUACUCAAUUGAUAAGAAAAAUAUCAUGCCUCUGCUCUACCAUUCAAAUGCAGUACAACAGUCUCAAGUUUAUGUUGUGGAUCAAUUAUAUGAUUGUAAUGAAAAUACCUUUCGCAACCAAGCUUUUGGAUAUCCUUCUUCGAAGUAAGGGCAGUCGAUUUUGGAGUUGGAAUUGCUCGAGUGAAAUCGCCCCACAGGGAUUUCAUGAUUCUCCAUCAUUCUACCUCUACUACCAGAUCCUUCUAUUGUAUGAGCAGAUGUUGGAGCACUUCCCAAAAUUCCAUCCUUGCUUGUCCAUCAAAAGAUCGAAUUUGUGAUUCAGUUCAUCCAUUUUAGAGUCAUUCGACUCUAGCUUUUUACUAGUUUCUGCCAUGUAAUUUUGUAAUUGAUUAUCCAGUUUUUUGACACUUUCUUCUGUAACUUUGGAUCUGAUUUCUGGUGUUGUCAUGGUGCCAGGACUUGCUCUGAUACCAACUUAUAAUAGACUAGUAAUUAUCUUUCAAGAAAUGAACAGAAUUGAAGAAAUGAGAAUGAGGAACCCAAGCUUUAUUGAUCAACUGUCAAAGAAACAAUAUUACAAUGAAUCUACUAAAUUAAGUACAAUAGUUCCACCAUAGCUACUGAACAAUAGUACUUGAAAGAGAAGAAGAAGAAGAAGAAGAAGAGAAGUUGGUUAGAAAUUUACAGAGAGAAAGUAAAGAGAAGGAUAGGC